GACGGGAAGGGAGGGAGGGAGGCAGAGGGAGCUUUAAAUGGGUGACAAAUGGACAACCAAUGACUGCAACUCGGGAAUACACGUUUUGAAUAGAAGCGAGUCAAUUUGCACAUUGUUUUUGUAUAGUUUUUCCUGUAGUAGCUACUUUUUAGAAUCUUUUUAUCACUCCAUUCAUUUUUGUGCGACGGAAAUGAAAGCGUUAGUCUUCUGGGUUACAUUUUCCUUUUCAUAGAUACAUGUGAUCGCUUUACAUUUUCUUGUUCUUUUGAAAAAACAAACAAACUAUGAUGUAGUCCCUUAAGCGUUUAAGGGUUUUUGUUUUAUGUCUUUUGUUUCUGUCUUUUGUUUGUUUUUUGCCCUGGAUCCGUCGAUGGUUUAAAAAACUGCAUGUUUGCAAUUUUAUGACAUAAUCCGCGCAUGACUUUACUCGGCCUAGCUGUUCUGUGUGGUCACUUUAUGAUGGGUGGGUACUUGUCCGGGGGUAUACUGCAGUGAUCCGCUCCCCCUCCUGCUGUCCCCGGCCCUGCCUCUGGGACGCUGGGUGCAGUCCUGGCCCCCUGCCCGUUGCCUUCUCUCCAACCAACAGAAUUUAUUGUUACAAAUUAAUAUCGACGCGCAGCAUUGUGUUGAUUGAACAAAGAUCACGGCAUUGUAGUGCGAAAACUAAUUUGCCAGUGGCAUCGCCCUUUUAACAGUUUAUCGCGUUUUUUAUGGCGCGGCCCUCUAAUUAAAACUAUUAGGCUAGUAUUGGAAUUACAAUCAAAUGGCAACAUGAAAGGUUCUUGGGGACAUAAAAGCUAUUUCAUUUUUUUUGAUCUAGUGGUAAGGACAUGAUCAAUGUCCACAUUCAGUCAUAGGACUCGGCUUAUAGUGGUAGCCACGGCGGUGUGAUUUUCAUGUUUAUGGCUAAACUGGCUUCAUAUUUAGACAGGGCUUAUAGGGUGUUAAAAUAGUGUGAAUUCAGUCUAACACGAACAGUGCUCACAUUGUGAAAGAGCCGUGUACAGGGCAUAGAAUCUAGACUUCGCUUAAUCCACCCUCAGCAAAGCUGACAUAAUGAUCCUAAGCCGCCUUUCUACAAAAUCAUUCAGGAAUUCAAAACGUUCCCUUUCCUCUCUCCGAGUUGCACAUUCUCCCGGCUGACCAACGACUUCAAGCUUGGAGGGACAGUGAGUACCUCAGCGUGCAUGUAUAGUCAGUGCUGCCUGUUUAUGUCCACCACAAACCUUACCUGAUGCGCUUAAACAACGUGAUUGCCGCCGAGCAAUUAGCCAACACUGGCGCACUAUUACGCGUUUUAGGUAAAGCAGUGCUUUAACUCGUGCGAACAUGUGCGUGCAGGAGUGGGGUGCGAGUGUCUGUGUCUGGAGGUGUAUGUGAUGCAGAGUGGGCGUUGUGAUGAUCUUGCAGCAGGGUCAGGCGUUUGGUUCGUGUGUUACUUCUGGAGUUUGCGCGCGUGUUUGUGCGUGUGGGGGCAGGGUAGAGUAUGGGAUCAAACCUGUCCACUGCGCUCCUAUACGAACCUCAGGAGGACUAAUUCCAAGUGGCACUUGAAUUGGUCCCGUUGGAAAGCUCUGUGGACUGGAAGUAAAGGCUGGUAUUUUCAUGCUGGUGUUAAAACUAACCUCCUAGCCUAUACCCCCUCCUCUUUCUCUUUCUCUCUUUCUCUCUCACACACAUAUACACACAUGCAUGACCCCAACAUGAAGUUGAGAGUGCGGGCUUAGCAGCACUUCUCCAAAUAUGCAAAGCCUCCUACCUGACCGGGUUCCUGGUGUACCAAUUUAGCUGAUCACCAUUCAACCCAAGGCUGCAGGUAUUAUGUAGCAUUAUGUUUUGGAGGAGCCUUGUUUGGGAGUAGCCCUCGCAGGCAAUUCGGAAAUCACUCUUAGAAAAGACUAGAGGUGAAAUGUAAAACCUGAAUGGGGAUUGAGGGAGAAAAGCCACUGGUAAUUCACAUUCUUUUACAUGGCUUUUGUUUAUGUUAAGCAUGUAAUUAACACCUCCCAAACAAGUUUAUUCACCUGCCGUAAUUGUGUGUUUAUCCGAGAGCUUGCUGAAUGUUCCUAGCAGCGGGGGACGAGAGCUCUGAAUGCACAUUGAGCAUUUAGCGUCUUCUCCGUUUACUUACAGCCUAAACCUCCAAACAAGACAACACAAACAGCAUUUUUCAUGCUAAAAAACUGGAAACAUGCUGGUCAAGCAGGAACAGGCGUCCGUGUCUGUUAAGCAGCUGGAUCUCGCUUCCCAUUCCUUUUGGCUGAUCGUAAAAUGGAAUGUCAAACUUUGUUUGGAAAAGUUUUGUAUAAAUAAAACAAGUUUCUUUUUUUAUUUAUUUGAAGUUGUUAAUGUGAUAGGGUAAUACUGUUCAUUGACCAUGAUAUGUUAGUCCUAUCGGAACAUAUUGCGUCUAAAAGUGUUCGUUAAUCUUCAUUAAGUAGUUAUAUUUCUUUUUCUGUCUGUUCCAAUAAGGGGAGCAAAUAAACAAAGCUGAUGUUACGUCACGUUUGGGAGUGAGAGAGGGAGAAGGGGACCGGAUGAGAGAAAGAAAGAAAAGGUGUUGACUGUAAAAGGUAAGAGGGAAAGAGAAGGCACGAAAGAAAGGGUCUUGUUUUAUUUUUUGCUCCCUCGUUGACCCCGGUUUGGCAGAAGCUUCCCAGAAAAGGCAGCACACCCCUCCCUGGCAAACACAGGAGAGGCACAUGUGCCUACUGCUCCAUCCUGGAUUCAUCUCAACAUUACACAGACACUUUGGAGAAAUGACUGGGCUGUAAGCUGGCUCCAGUCCACGAGCGGUCACCAUUUGAGCUUGGAAGCUGUAGCUGGAGAUGGCACCGCUUCACGGUUAUUUCACUGGUCAGUUUGUCCAAAAGUAGGAUGGAAAUCGAGCUGCAGUGUCUGUAAGUUCUGUUAAAUGUAAGCAGAGCAAUUUCCGUCUGCGACGUUGUUGACUCGUUGUUAUUUUUGCGGACAAUUCAUUUAUUUAAACAAAAAUAUGGAAUUAAACAGAAAAAUCUUAACAGACCUUGAUAUGAGGUUAAUCUAUCCUUUAGAUCAGAAAAGUUACAUUUGGUGUUAUCUGACCUUUCCCUCACCGAGAAUAGGGAAGAUCUGUCUUUGCAGAGCAGAUGUGUGAUGCUGUCGGGACGGGGCGCACAAUCGCCUCCAUCCCAUGCUGGCUAGUCCAGGGUACGGAGACGCUGCUUUCUCCCCACACUGUAAAAAGUAUCAGUCUAGAGGUGUCAUUUAAUGUAGCACUGAGUUUUAAAAAUACGGGUUUAUUUUUGGGAAAAUGAAUGGCUGUAUCAUACAUUUGGGAGAAGGAUGUAAAAGGACACAUCUCGAUCAGAUAUAACUUCAUCUGCUUCUGUUUAAAGUUUCUGGUGAAAAUUUCGAGUUAGUACAAGAAAUGCAGAACUCCGUUUUCUUUAGAAAUAUUAUACCGCUUCUUUUAAAAAAAAUGCUAUGCAUAAAAUUUGUGUCACUGGAUUUUUUUUUUUUUUUUUUACCGUAUCUGAGGAAAUUUUGAUGAAAUGAAAACAAAUUGGAUAUUUUUUGCAGUGCAAAAAUGCGAUUAAAGCAUAUAGUCAGCAGCUAUAACAACUGCAUUCUAUUUUUUAAAACCAUUUAAAAAUUAAUAUUAGACCUGCAUGUGACGCUAUUACGAUUUGGUUCAUUCCAUGGUGAACUCAAGCGCCAAAACAAUUAAGUCGGUUGCAAUAUCUUAAAACAGCCUCUGAAUAACAACUUGUGAUCACAUAAGCAAUAGGCAAAACCUCUGUUUACGUUUGCAGAUGCAUGCACGACACACAAUAGUGUCUAAAUUUAAAAUUAAAGAAACAGAAAAACGCCAUGAUUGAAUUUAAAACGUUUUUUCACCGCAAAUGUCACUGAUCUGUAAACGUGGCUCCAACUUUAAUAGUAAAGCUUUUACAAAAGUUUUAACAUCUCUCUCUCUCUCUCUCUCCCUCCUUUCUUUUAUUGUUUUUAUUGUGUGGUCUCAUUAGGGGGACUUCCUGGCAGGGCUGGGAGCUUGUAUCGGAGCUGUCCAAUCAGUGUAUUUACACGGGUUGUUAGCGACAGUUAAUGAGGGCUCCUCCCCGGGCCGGUAGAGAAAGGCGCCUCAACAUUAAGAUUUACCUUGUGUCAACUCGUUACUUCUAAUGAACCUCCAUGCAAAAGCCUCCUCGUUCUCAAUGGAGCCGUGCGCCCGGAUCUUGUGUGUGAGACCCUGGAAGAGUGGAGCUGCAAGCCGGCCUCCCUCUCCCCCACCUCCUUUUCUUCCGCUCACUCAGGGAGUGUUGCUUUUUCUCUGCAGGCCCGGUUCUAUGAUGCAUGCAUGCAGUGUGUGUGUGCGUGUGUACAUGUUUGUGUGUGGGUACAUAUAGCCUGCUCUUCAUUGAAUAUGGCGUUAGGAAUCCAAAUGUUUUCAUUAUAUAUUUAAAUUUGUGCAAAAAGGCUUUUCCCCGUGUAGAUUAACACAUAUUGGACUACAGCGUAAAAUUAUACGUAGGCUAUAUAUUUAUUUAAAAUGUGUCUAAUCGAUAAAGAAAAAAAACAGUCAUUAGAAGUGUGUUCUGAGACAAGACAUAGGCGUAGGAGGGUGUUUGUGUUUGCAUGCACGUAUCACAAACCAUAUGUCUUCUAUUGUUUGGUGAAUGAGGCUUGACAUGUCAGCUUAUUGCCCCUGCAGAAGUAAGUUCAUUUAUAAUCACCCUCCAUCCCCCACGAGAGCACCGAGCACAGAUCGGGCUCUGGCCCCUCUGUCCACCCCUCGUCUGGCCCCUAGUGAGGCUUGUUGAGCCGCAUCAGCAACACAUCACUGCCCCUCAAUUCAGGUACAAACGAGAGGAGUUUGGCAGCUCCCUGAAGUGGACUCCCCUCUUGCUCUUCUAGACCACAGAGACACCACUUAAAAAUCAAUUAGACUCGUCUAGUCUCUCUCCUCGCCAGUCAUUAUUAAAAAAGAGAGAGAGAAAGAAGGAAAGAAAGAAAAAAACCCAGGUGGGAACACCAAAUUUCAGGAAGGACUAAAACCAAAAUCCAACUUUUGAUUCUUGCGAAGGAAAAUUAGCAUUUGUACCAUCUAGCUUUGAAAAGUGGUUAUCUGACAGACUGUAAGAUAAAAUAAACAGAAAAGUAAACUAAAAUAUGUUUGCACGCGAUAAUGUACACUUAUUUUUAGUCAAAUCUACAUCCACCAGCAGCCAGCAGGUGAUAAAGUGGCCCAAACUAUAUUCUCACGGUUGUUGGCACUUUGUCACCUGCUGGUGAAAGUGACAGAAAACAGUUUGAUUUCCAUAUUUGUUAUAAAGGGGAAAGAAGGUUUUUAAGUAAUGUCAUUAGUUACACAAUCCCUUUCUUCAUACCGUCAACAUCGUAUUUAAUGCGCAUUUUCUCAUGGCGCCUUUUCCAGCAGCGGUUUAACCGCUCAGGCGCCUGGUGCUCCGUGUUACAGAUGUGCAGCAAUAUGACACAGCGCAGUAACGCUGGAGGAGGCCUCGUGUUCACUCUUCCAGGUGGAUAGGCUGAUUUGGAGACAGAGACACAGAGAAAUAAAUAUAAUGGCUGCAUAUCGAAUGCAUUGCCCCAAGCGCUACAUAUGAUGCUCACCUUGCCUUAUACGUUUUCUUAUUUUUUUUAAACAGCUGAACAUUUUUUUUUAAAGCAAAGCAACCCCCUACUCUCACAGCACUCUUAUCUCCCAGCACCUAACCCCUGAAGAAUCUUCAUUAAUCUGCAUGUGUAGAUCUCAAACUGUAUUCGGUCCUGUAUAGAGCUAACAGUAUAACCAAAUUGAUACUUUAAAAAAUGUGGACAGAAUUAAAUUUAAAAAAAAAAAAUCUGACUGUUUUGGAUUUGCCUGUCUAGGCUGAUUAAGCGCUCAGUCUCUGAGAUGCAGAUAGGAGUUGCGGAGAUGGCCCUUUAGCCCGGUGUCACAGGAGCUGACAAGCUGUAAUUACUGUGGCUGACAGGUCGCUCUCAAAGCUUACUAAUGUGAGAGAUGUGGAUACCACAGACAGCAUGCACACAGUCGAGGCUACUCAACACUUUGGCCACGUAGUGCCUUUUUAACCCCUGUUCAGAUGCUGCUGGGCUGGCCACAUGCUCCGCAGAUGACCUUUUCCAUUUUAACAUUCCAGUAAUGAAAUAGCCACUUAUUUGCGAGCUAUGAUAUGGUAGUAGAGAUGUGAAUGGGAAAAAAAUACACAUAAGACGGGUGAAAAGUUCUUUAACUUUCAUGCAGUUAUUUAGUUUUCGAUUAAGCUACACUAUAGCUAUGUAGCACUCCUAAAGAAGAAUAUUUUACACCGAAAUACAUGACCAUCUGAAGAUAUUAUGUAAUGAUGCAGCUUUCACCUCCAGCCCCCAGUUAAUUUUUCAUUGACGUAAUACAGGUAAACUCAGUACAUCCGUAACAGAAAGUAGGUUUAAAUACUCACAUACUGAACAUGUGGAACUUUUGCUUUAAUACUUUCAUUUUGUGCUGUUUUAUUUAAAUUAAUCCUUCAUUUUAGAGGGAAAUCAUGCAUGUUUCAUGUUUUUAUGUUUUACUUCCACAGCAGUUAUGCAGCAAUAAAAUGCCAGUACAUCAGUGAUAAGUAUAAUCUAAAUAACUACAGUAUUACUUUUGAUAGUUAAAACAGUGUGCUUUUCUACUUUUACAGGAUAAAACUGUAACCACAAGAUUUUUUACUCAGUGAAGUACAUUUACAUUGUGGCUGCUUGAGAGCCUGGUUAGGAUUCUUUAUCUAUUUCAUAAAACAAGCUUUUUAACAUUAUGAAUACAAACAUGAACUCUUGACCCUUCAGCUCUAUGCUGUGGGGUGUGCUUUACUGGGACGAUCUGGUUCUACUUGUCCCCUUAGAGGGAACAUUUGCAGUAUAUUAAUACAGAGUUGUUUUGAGUGAACACUUUUAUCUUUAUGACACAGUUCUGUCUUGAUGCAAGUGGACCAUUCCAGGAUGAUGAUGCCCCCAUCCAAAGUUCAUGAGGGCUCCCUGGAUGGCUUGCAGAGUAUGAAAAUCAUACGAAUCAUAUGCAGUUGCUUUCACAGACAUCAACUGACAAAACAUCAAAUGAGCGAAGAACCUUUGGAAGAACUGUGGCCCGUCCUUCCAAUGACUUUAGACUUUAGAUUUCAAGAACCUGAAAUUGUUCUGGCAGCACAUUGUGUUUUAACAAUUUAAAUUUUGUAUUUUCCUUUAACCUGGCAUCUACCUACAUUGCAUUCCACAAAAUAAAUAGCUGGAUUUGCCAUACGUUUAACCAGUAUGCAGUGCUCCAGUACAUGUAGUUGCUGCCUCUCUCACAAUAGAAUAGCCCUUCAUCAUCAACAAAACCUGCAGAGCCUAAUUUCCUCAAUGGAUAAAUACUCUAAUUAAUGCUUCAGUUUGUAAUAGAGUAAUGUAAGAAAUCUAUAGACACUGAGUAAUCCACCCUCCCCUUUCGCGUGACUAUGUGAAGGUCACAGUCACCGUUUAACCCACAUUUCCGUGUCACAUGCUGAUUGUUUGGAUGAUUGUGUGACAGCGAAGCAUGCACCUAGCAUCUCUCUCGCUCUCAUUUUAAUUUUAAUUUAUAACUUGUUAAGCUAAAUUUUCCAUUUUCCAUGAAUUCUUUUACAGUUUAGGAGAACGAUCAUCUUCGUGUCAAGCUCACCUGUAGAACAAUGAACACAUAUCCUGUUUCCUUUGGACUGUCAUAGGUUUUUGUGUUUUGUGUGGAGUUUUUUGAAUGUUUAUUGUGACUGAGCUUGCACUUGGUUCGGUUUCUGCGUUUUUUUAAAUAUCUAGAUAAAUUUCCCGUUUAUUCUUAAUCUCUUGUUAGGAUCAAAUAACAUGUUAAUAUCCUUUGGCUUUUUCCGUUGUUUCAAAUAGGCUUCCUUAGCUUGCGGCAUAAUUUGGUUUACUCGCUCUCCCUCUCUCUCUCUCUCUCUCUCUCUCUCUCUCUCUCUCCCCUGUCCUCUCCUCUCCUUGACUGCAGCUUUUGACAUUACUCCUCUCGAUUGCCCGUUUACCCCCAAGUCAAGUUUGAGGUAGGCAUGAAGUGUAAAAGAGGUGGGCCAUGUCAUAUCCGCUCAGUGUGCAUGGGAUUGUCUGCCUCCACGGCUGUAAUUAUUGUUGGGGAGAACAAUUCAUGCACAGAGUGCCCGGGCAAGCAGGAAGGUAGCAUAUCAGAGAAAGAACAGUCACAAAGUUGGCUCAUGAAGGUUUUUUUCUCGGCAGAAGUAGAAAUAUGGGUUGGUUUUUAUGUGAGGCACAAUCGCAUUUAGAAGUUUACCUACUUUGCUUGUAUAUUUGGAUAGAUUUGGCUUGCAUUAAAAUCAUUUAGCCUACUAUAGCGUUUACUUUGCUUGACUUUAAGGGGUUUUGUGAAACUAAUCUAAGGGUACUCUCCCACCUGGACUCCACUUUAAGGAUAUUGUGAAAUAACUACUUUAACAACACAGCUGCUUUGACAGCCCCAGGUGCAUAUUAACGUUUAUUUGAAUGAAUUAAACGAAUAAAAAGUCUCAGAGCAACAGACUUGCCUUAUAUAAGUUCAUGAGAAGGCUACCAGACGACUCUUAAAUAUAAUUGUUUCACUUGGAGAACACAAAUCAUCCAAAAGUAACUUAUAUUUAUGCAAAGUCUAGUAAGUACAGUCUGCAUUAUUUUUUUUGUCCACUCAGCCUUUGAAGAAGUUUAAUGGAACACCCAGUGGACAAAACUGCAGCUACAUGGUGUUUUAAGUUACCUGCAUUCAUCUGAGUGUGCAGGGGGAAAGAAGAAGAAAAAAAGUUGCUCAACUGUUUACCUAAUUGUUCCCGAAACUUAGCUACAUGAAUCUAUUGCUAGGCAACAGAUUAGGCGUAGGUGUAGUGACUUUAGUUUUUACGCAGUCUCAGGUGUGUGUUUAUCGAGUACGUCACCGCUGUUUCAACAUAGCAGCCAAUCAGAAACGGGGAACGGAACUUACCGUCCUAUAACUAGAUAUUAGUUUACAAGAUAAUAACGGAGGGAUGCUGCGACCGAUGAGCCGGUUACUCACGGGUGAACAGAGCCAGUCCAAUUUGAUUUGUGUAGGCUACCCAUCUCCAUUUGGCUCCCAGGAUCAAUAGAUGAUGUCUGAGAGCUAGGAGGUGGGGGCGGAGAAAGGAAAGGAAAGGAAAGGAAAGGAAAGGAAAGGUGCAACAGGUUAAACAGAAAGUAGCCGAUAGACACACAACGUCUGUUAUAUCGUUAAAAUAUAAUCUCAUCAAUAUUUUAUCUUCUCAAUUUUUAUUUUUUACUUUUCACCCUGUCGUUAAAAUUAGUUACUUAUUAAUGCUCAAAUGCAUUAUUAUUAUUAUUAUUAUUAUUAUUAUUAUUAUUAUUAUUGUUGUUAUGCUUCGAAUUAUUUCCUAUCCCAGUGUGUGGGGGGUAUAUUUUGCCUCCACACAAGGCUGAUUGGCUUUUGCAGUAUCAGUAGUUUGUAUCAGGUUAGUGGGCUGUGCACUCACCCACUCCUUACUACUGAAACCAUAAUGUUUUCAUGCACUGGGCUCAUACACACACUGCUGAAAUCAGUGGAGCCUGCAUAUGACCUGCAGUCUUUUCUGUGCAGCUUACUUGCGCAUAUACAAAAACCCUGAAGUGAUACCCAGGCCACAAAGCGACAGUCACCGCAAGUAUUGUAAUAGCACAUACAUACUAACAUAAACCGAACAAAACAAACUUGACCUAUAUCCGCCUUCCUAUAUGGCGCAUUGAGAUAUUUCAGCGUUUUUGUUGUUGUUCAUUCAUUAUUCAGGUUUAGAUUAUUAUGGAUGGCAGAUGUCAGAGCGUGAUGGAGAUGUUUAUGUUUGACUGAUUUAAGGAGCCAUUAUCCCGCCCGCUUAUCAAACAUUCAUGUGUGGCAGCUGUAGUUGUGGAUCUGCCUUCCGUCGUGUCUCCUGUGGCCGCUUCAUUUCUCUUCUUAAGCAACCACGACCUUUCCACUCAGUUAACCUAUUAUCUUUUAACAUUUAGAGGCAGCUUUACUCCAUCAGAAGAAGAAAUAAUCUAAAAGCAUUAGACACAGACUAUAUAUCAGAGAAAAAGAACUAUAGGAGAAUGUGAAAAAAUAUACAUCUAACAGAAAAGAACCUAACCCUUUAUGGCACAGCCAUGUAGAAGAAAACACUAUAGAUUGAAAAUGCGAGCUCGACACAGUAGCGUAUCAGCUGGCCUUUCAGCAGAUAGGAUAAAGCUGUCUAAUGUCCAAUAGACUGUAAGUGUCGCAAAACAACGUGUGAUAAACCCGGAAUAGCACAGGAACAGUAAGUAAAAACGCGCAACAGAACGUCUCAAUAUUAUAUAGUCCGAAUUAGAUGAAUAUUAAAUUUAUAAUUGCUUAAAGUUAUUGAUACGUUACCCAUAAUUAGUCUUUACAGUUAAUGACAGAUUUGUAAACAUCCUAAUGAAACAGUCUGGCAGUAUGCAGAGCAAUUAAUUCUGACGGGAGUCAUCAAAGGCGUCACUAUUUUAUUGUUUAUACGACUUUUAGUUGUUGAGCAAAAUAAGAUCCAAAAGAGCUUUUUUCUUUGCAGAAUAUUCACUCAUAUAAGUUCACACUGGGGCACUACUACAGCACGCUUAUAACGAACCUAACAUAGAUUGAUUGGAUUGGGAAAUAGUGACGCUUUCCUUUUUGAUAAAUUUCUUGUUAUGCAGCAAUAAUAUCUAGAUUAUAAUGAAGUUUGAGACAGGCUAUUUGCGUUAUCAUAAAAUUUAAAAUUAGACGUUAAUAUAAGAAAAGAAAAGAAAAGAAAAGAAAAGAAAAGAAAAGAACAGAAAAGAAGAAAGGUUUUUUCCAAAUUUCAGAACGGGUUGUUUUUGUUUUGUUUUUUACUCGAUGUUGAUUUUACCCAUUUAAUCCACCAUCAAAUUAGAUAAAAAGAGAUUUAACUUUUCAAGUUUAAUAUCAGCCAAAAGAGAGAAAAAAUAUUUUUUAAGAACCCCUUUUGCUUCAGUCUAAUAUUUUCUCUCCCUGUCGGCUGAGGCUGCACAGACCAUCCAGCGUCCGCACUUUGUAAUUGCCCUGUGAACGCGGUAGUUUUCAUUCUUUUGACCCUUCCAUGAACAGCACGCCGCCGCCCUCGCUUGCUCCCCUCCACCCCAUCCAAACAGACCCACACAAUGCUGCGUGUGCGUGCGCGCUCUGCGGUAUGUGGGCUAAAUGUCGUGCAGAGGUAAUGGGAAGUAGUCGGACGGUAGGGUCGGGAGUUCACGGCGGGGUUAAAGAGACCCGUCCGUGGCUCCUGUUUGCUUUUUUUCCACAACUCCGCUUCCUUCCUACAGGAGGAUGUGUCCAGUGUGCCACCGUCCUCACCUCGCAACAACCCCGUCACUGCACAGACCGUGUUUGUUUUUCUGCGUUUAUUAAAUCUUCCCCCGGCAGGAAAACGACCGGUAUCACCACGUCACUGGGUGCUGGUGAGUUUAGCACUUUGCAUCCCUCCUCUGCUCCCUGAGAACGCUUUUGUGUUUGGACUUGUGAAGUCUCGCGUCUAUUUAUAUCCCCACAUGCAGGCUGUCUCUUCAACCUUUUUUUCCCCUUCAGUUUAUCAUAUUUCUUCAAGAUUUUUUCAAGGUUUUUUUGUUCCAGAAUCACAGCUGACACAUUUUUAAAUAAAAUCAAAAACAAAAAACUAACUUUUAUUUUACACCAAGAAUCAGAUUAAUAAUAACAAACAAUGAAGGAUAAUUUCAGCUGUUUCACCUAAUAAAGAGGUCCCCAUGCACUCUUUGUACUUUAUUUAAAAAACAUUUGAUCAUUAAUAAAUUUUGUCUUCAAAAAAAGUCAGCGACCUCCCUCAUAAUGAACAAAACAGUCUCCCACCUAUGCCCCUUAUCAAGGUUUUUUUUUCUUUUUCUUUUUGAUGAAUCCCGAGCAUAAACCGCAUUUAAGCAGCAUGACAAUGAUGUAAGUUGUUAAAAGAGAAAAAAGAGCAGAGAUUAUUAUUAUCUCAUUAAGGAUAACUGCCUGCAGGUCCGCUGGGUUAUCCGCCAUUUUAAUUGCCGCUGCAUCAUUAUUCAGGCCUUUAACCAUUUUAUAGGUUUUUCCUCUAAUGAAAUGAGCAUGUGUGCAUUAUGGAAAUUGCAUCUUUAUAUGAUGUAGAUUAUUCUCUUGAGAAACCACGUGAAAUAUUAAUCAUUGAAGCCGUAUAUGAUAAAAUUUCCUCCUCUAUUGUAUUUGCCAUUCUAGCUCUCUAUUCUUGUGUGUCUUCUGUCUCUGCAGGUGGCAGGUAGGUGCUAUUUCAGCUUACUUUACAGCUUGUUUUUCUAGUUUGUGAACUUUGACAAGGUGGGUUUGAAUUGAAAAUAGUUUUUUAUACAAGACAAGGAAAAUAUUUAAUGUCCAUCUUGAAAACGUUUUUUUCUUUUGCAGUAAGUUUUCUAUUGCAGCUUUGUUAAUAAAACAACAAUAAAAACGUGUUUUAAAACCAGUUUGGUGUCACAUUUGCUUUAAAUAGUUGAUUUAUACAUGGUUUGGGAAACUAGGAGGGUACUUAAGUAAACUAGCACAAAAAGGCAUGUACACAUGGAAAAUUCUAUCACAUGAGCUCCAAUAUUUUUAUUAUGUGAAGAAAUGGAAACUAACCUUGUCUCUUUAUAAUAGAAUACAUUAGUUGAAUGUAAAGUUAUUCUAAUUUACUAUAACACAUUAAAAUAUUGCUGUCACUGAUAAAACAUUAAUACAACAUUUACAAUUACUCUUUACAAACCAAAAUAAAUGUAAUUUAAUCCAUGUGUUUAUAUACUACGAAUUUUCAGCUGCACAUAUUGCUAAAAAAAACAUGUAGUCAAUAAUUUCACAUGGAGGAUAACCCUUGAGAUUAAAUAUGUAAAAACAUACAUUAACAAAGAUAACAGCUACAUAUAAAUGAAUCUAACAAGCAAAAUAAAUAAAUAAAUACAUAAAAUACAACCGCUCUUAUACUCGUUUAUUUCAUUUGGGGAAGAAAAGAUGGAGGGAUUGAUGGAUGGACAACAAAGGGUUUAAUAAAGAAAUGGGAUAAAAGAGAAAAUACUUAAGAAAUAGAGAAACUGUAAGAACAGAAAGAGCUGAGAAGUCAUAUAUCCUCAAAGCAGGGGAUUGAGAUUCAUCUGACAGAAACAAGACAAAAACAGAAGGAGGGACCAACAGAGGUACAGUGGGGUUUUGCAUUGGCAUGGAGAGGGUCUGUUUUGUUGUUACCUUCCCUCUGUUUUUCUCUUUCUCUGUGUCUCUCAUCCUCUCUCUUUCGCUUUGUGUUCAUAUAGAGACAUCUAUACUGGAGACAGGAGAGUGAGAGAGAGAGAGAGAGAAUUUGGUCGUCUGCCUAUCUCCUCCUCACCAUGGCGCCCCUGAGACCAAGCAAGCAAGGAGAGUACACAUACACACACACACUUUUACCCGCCGCUGAGGAGAACAGCUUGGCUCUGUGUUACACUGAAAACCCCACUUUCCCUCAGUCAGACAGACAGGUAGACAGCUGGGUGUUACACUAAAUCCUCUCCCCCAUGUGUUCCUCCUAACACUGGCUCUGCUCUUUCUGUCACUUCUCUGUGUCUGCUCCUUUCUUUAUCUCAUGGCUCGUGCUUGAAAGCAGAAGAAAAGAGUCAGCCCUGGAAAAAAAUAAAACUAUGAUAUGAUUGUAAAAUGUGGAGUAGUUUAUGAAUAGUUUAGAGGAGAUGUCAGGGUUUAAAAUUGCAGGAUUAGUCAAUGGAAACAGCCAUUUGUGAAACGCUGAAAAUAAAACAUAGUGUCUCCAA